CCUACGGGUGGCAGCAGUCGAGAAUCAUUCACAAUGGGGGAAACCCUGAUGGUGCGACGCCGCGUGGGGGAAUGAAGGUCUUCGGAUUGUAAACCCCUGUCAUGUGGGAGCAAAUUAAAAAGAUAGUACCACAAGAGGAAGAGACGGCUAACUCUGUGCCAGCAGCCGCGGUAAUACAGAGGUCUCAAGCGUUGUUCGGAAUCACGGGGCGUAAGGCGUGCGUAGGCUGUUUAGUAAGUCGUGUGUGAAAGGCGCGGGCUCAACCCGCGGACUGCACCAGAUACUGCGAGACUAGAGUAAUGGAGGGGGGACCGGAAUUCUCGGUGUAGCAGUGAAAUGCGUAGAUAUCGAGAGGAACACUCGUGGCGAAGGCGGGUUCCUGGACAUUAACUGACGCUGAGGCACGAAGGCCAGGGGAGCGAAAGGGAUUAGAUACCCUUGUAGUC
rnacentral:rRNA from 1 species